rnacentral:rRNA from 1 species
UGAGUGGCGGACGGGUGAGUAACGCGUGGGUAACCUGCCUCAUACAGGGGGAUAACAGUUAGAAAUGACUGCUAAUACCGCAUAAGCGCACAAAACCGCAUGGUUUGGUGUGAAAAACUGAGGUGGUAUGAGAUGGACCCGCGUCUGAUUAGCUAGUUGGAGAGGUAACGGCUCACCAAGGCAACGAUCAGUAGCCGACCUGAGAGGGUGACCGGCCACAUUGGGACUGAGACACGGCCCAAACUCCUACGGGAGGCAGCAGUGGGGAAUAUUGCACAAUGGGGGAAACCCUGAUGCAGCAACGCCGCGUGAGUGAAGAAGUAUUUCGGUAUGUAAAGCUCUAUCAGCAGGGAAGAAGAGAGACGGUACCUGACUAAGAAGCCCCGGCUAACUACGUGCCAGCAGCCGCGGUAAUACGUAGGGGGCAAGCGUUAUCCGGAUUUACUGGGUGUAAAGGGAGCGUAGACGGCUUGAUAAGUCUGAAGUGAAAGGCCAAGGCUUAACCAUGGAACUGCUUUGGAAACUAUGAGGCUAGAGUGCUGGAGAGGUAAGCGGAAUUCCUAGUGUAGCGGUGAAAUGCGUAGAUAUUAGGAGGAACACCAGUGGCGAAGGCGGCUUACUGGACAGAAACUGACGUUGAGGCUCGAAAGCGUGAGGAGCAAACAGGAUUAGAUACCCUGGCAGUCCACGCGCUAAACGAUGAAUGCUAGGUGUUGGUGGGCAAAGCCCAUCGGUGCCGUC